UCUAGAGCUAAUACAUGCUGAAAACCCCGACUUCGGAAGGGAUGUAUUUAUUAGAUUAAAAGCCAAUGCCCUUCGGGGCUCCCUGGUGAUUCAUAAUAACUGCUCGAAUCGCACGGCCUUGCGCCGGCGAUGGUUCAUUCAAAUUUCUGCCCUAUCAACUUUCGACGGCUGGGUCUUGGCCAGCCGUGGUGACAACGGGUAACGGAGGGUUAGGGCUCGACCCCGGAGAAGGAGCCUGAGAAACGGCUACUACAUCCAAGGAAGGCAGCAGGCGCGCAAAUUACCCAAUCCCGACUCGGGGAGGUAGUGACAAUAAAUACUGAUACAGGGCUCUUUUGGGUCUUGUAAUUGGAAUGAGUACAAUUUAAUUCCCUUAACGAGGAACAAUUGGAGGGCAAGUCUGGUGCCAGCAGCCGCGGUAAUUCCAGCUCCAAUAGCGUAUAUUAAAGUUGUUGCAGUUAAAAAGCUCGUAGUUGAACCUUGGGCCUGGCUGGCCGGUCCGCCUCACCGCGUGCACUGGUCCGGCCGGGCCUUUCCCUCUGGGGAGCCGCAUGCCCUUCACUGGGCGUGUCGGGGAACCAGGACUUUUACUUUGAAAAAAUUAGAGUGUUCAAAGCAGGCUUAUGCUCGAAUACAUUAGCAUGGAAUAAUAGAAUAGGACGCGUGGUUCUAUUUUGUUGGUUUCUAGGACCGCCGUAAUGAUUAAUAGGGACAGUCGGGGGCAUCAGUAUUCAGUUGCGAGAGGUGAAAUUCUUGGACCAACUGAAGACUAACUACUGCGAAAGCAUUUGCCAAGGAUGUUUUCAUUAAUCAGGAACGAAAGUUAGGGGAUCGAAGACGAUCAGAUACCGUCGUAGUCUUAACCAUAAACUAUGCCGACUAGGGAUCGGGCGGUGUUAUCUUUUGACCCGCU
rnacentral:rRNA from 2 species